CUACGGGCUGCACCAGUGGGGAAUCUUGCGCAAUGGGCGAAAGCCUGACGCAGCAACGCCGCGUGCGGGAUGAAGGCCUUCGGGCUGUAAACCGCUUUCAGCAGGAACGAAAAUGACGGUACCUGCAGAAGAAGGAGCGGCCAACUACGUGCCAGCAGCCGCGGUGACAGUAGGCUCCAAGCGUUGUCCGGUUUAUUGGGCGUAAAGAGCUCGUAGGCGGUUGAGUAAGUCGGGUGUGAAAACUCUGGGCUUAACCCGGAGACGCCAUCCGAUACUGCUCUGACUAGAGUUCAGGAGGGGAGUGGGGAAUUCCUAGUGUAGCGGUGAAAUGCGCAGAUAUUAGGAGGAACACCGGUGGCGAAGGCGCCACUCUGGACUGAAACUGACGCUGAGGAGCGAAAGCAUGGGUAGCAAACAGGAUUAGAUACCCCUGUAGUC
rnacentral:rRNA from 1 species